AGGAAAGAGGAGAGAUUUGUAUGCUUGCAACCUCAGAAAAAAAUGCUAAAACCAUUAAU
rfam:Bacteroidetes oral taxon 274 str. F0058 genomic scaffold supercont1.2, whole genome shotgun sequence.